rnacentral:rRNA from 1 species
UAGGCUGCAACUCGCCUACACGAAGUCGGAAUCGCUAGUAAUCGCGGAUCAGCAUGCCGCGGUGAAUACGUUCCCGGGCCUUGUACACACCGCCCGUCACACCAUGGGAGUUGGAAGCACCCGAAGUCGGUGACCUGACCGUAAGGAGGGAGCCGCCGAAGGUGAAGCCAGCGACUGAGGUGAAGUCGUAACAAGGUAAC